UGGAGUUCUCACAGCGGGGUGAAUGGGAGAUGACUCGAAAGAGCUCUGGUUGUAGGAUACUCCAUACUGGACCUUUAGGGGCUCCAGCAGCUUUAGUUACGUGUAUAACGGGAGCCAGGGUGCCGGACAUAGCAGGUAGUCUUAGGGUCUUAGCUUGGGGAUGGUAAACCUGUGCAUUCGGCUGCCUGCGUAUGUGCACGUGUGUGUUUGUCUCUCUGCCACACACACAGCACAGGGGUUUCCCCUACAAGGUAAAACCCUUACUCAACCCUGAAAUCUGAUUCCUGGAUGAUUUAUAAUCCGGCAUGACUCUGACGGGGAGUUCUUAAAAUAUUUCGGAGGACAGUUGUGUGGAGGUCUUGGAACUGGAGCUUGGAAUGCUUGACCUAUGAAAAGCUUGACACUUCCAGACCAGGGUCCUGAUCUAUCCAAAGAGGUGCCAUGUAAAGUAGCUGAGUUCAGCACACAGAGGUUCUUCUCUUGUUAUUUAUCAACCGAAGAUGACAUAUUAACAGUGCCGCUAAUGAGCCAGCUCUUUCUAAAGGUCACGCCUCGGUUCUGACAAGGAAAACGGUCCAAAAUUCCCGCCAUAAUGAGUUUGGCUCAGACAUGAGUGCAGGAAGUGUGUGUUAUGGCAUUUCACAGCGCCUCCAUCCAGCUGUCUCGGGGCUCAACUGCUGCUUGCGUUUUGUCAGAAUACAUUUCAACAAGUGUUUGAACCCAGGAAUGUUUGAGAGUGUGUGUGUGUGUGUGUGUGUGUGCACUAUAGAUCACUCUAAGUCAUCAUACUGAGAUGAGUACGUGAUAUUUUUGGGUUGUGAGUUUUCCAGAAUGGAAGUUCCCUACCCUGUGGCAUUUGUGUGUGUGUGUGUGUGUUUGUGUGUGUGUGUGUGUGUGUGUGUUUGCUUUGAUCACUACUGGAAGGUUUAUCUAGCA
ensembl:lncRNA